rnacentral:sRNA from 1 species
UUUUUUCCAUGCUAAGAAAACUGUUUCUAACUUUUUACAUGCAUAUGCCACCAAUUACUUUUAUUAAGUAAGAUUGAUUGUCAUAACUUUGUUUCUUACCUCUACAAACAGUGGCGGAUCUAGACAAACAUUUAGUAUAGGGCACUAUUCAUUUACUUUAACAAGGCUCGAACCUGGGUAAGGAUGAAGUAAUAGUAGAAGCACUAACCAUUUGUGCUAGAUCAUUCUUAUAAGAUGUCUUUACAAACAAAAAUCUAUAAAGUAGUGUAGGGCACGUGUCCCACCUCCCUCCAACCUAGAACAUUUUUGUUUAAAAAGGUUUUAACGUUCACAAACAAAUAUAAUAGAUAUUUUUGAUCGAGAGCAAUUAUAACGUGAAUAAGUAUCACUAGAUAACGCCAAAACUUCAUAUUCCUAUAAUCCUAGACGGCCAAUUAUUAACCCUGCAAUGCUGAAAAUCGAUGUCAAUACGAUAAAUUUAAGAGUCCAAAGUCUAAACAAACAGUCUAUAUGAGGUUUUCUAGAAAUUAAGCAAACGAAAUUUAGAGUAGGGUACACUUAAAC